UACAUUUGACCAAUUAGAACUCAGCUAAGAAAUUACGUCACAGGUUUUCCCAACCUGUCAAUUUCGGCGUGACAAAUGGCCCGGUCUUGCGGAUUUGUUGUGAUUUUAUCGAAAUUAGGUAGAAACACCACCGCCACAUUCCAAUGCUGACAAUCGGUCACUGUAUAUUUUUUAUUACUUGAAGGAAGGAAAACAUCACCCAGAUGUAACUGUCGGUCACCAAAGUGGAAUCAGAAAGGCCGUUAAAAAAUAUUCCAUUAAAGGUGACAAUCUUUAUUAUGAAGCCAAGGGAAAACACCAGCUGGUAUGCCAUUCCAGAGAAGAGCGUGUGUCUGCCCUUAAGCACUGCCAUGAUGAACCAGGAACUGGUGGACAUUGGGGCAGAAACAAAACGCUGGACAAGAUACAGGAAUCCUAUUACUGGCUGGGGAUGGCAAAGGAUGUUGAGAAAUGGAUCAACGAAUGUGACCAGUGUCAGCGCCAGGAAAGGCUAAAGACAAUAGCACCAAUUCUGCAUCCAAUCGAGACCGAUUCUCCUUGGGAUUUAAUAGGGAUAGACCUGAUCGGCCCCUUUCAGAAAACAGAAGGUGGUAACAAUGAAUACAUAGCAGAGCAGAGCGCGAGAAACAUGUGCCUGAGGGUCUUGCUGAGGGUCUUGCUGAGUGGAAGAGUGUGCAAUAUCUCUGCAGCCAGCAGUUGGAUGGGAACAGUUGCAGUAUAUUCACAUGCAUGAAUGCUGAAUGCCUUGUAAAAGAUGUUUGCCCGACAGUCAUGCGCCAGCACCACGUUCCAUACUAUCGGGAGUAUGUGAUGAAGACACUGCUAGCUGCCAGGAACACAGACAACUGCGACUCCAAACUGUGUUUGCGUCCACAACUAAAAUGCUUGGAAUGGAAGGGUUGUGAUGGAUGUUUGAUGUGGGAGCAUUCUGUUUGCACGAUAAUAACAGACAAGCACCCGUACUGUGGACUUUGUUUGCCAUUGCACUACAAAAACUAAACAUUCUCAUUUCUUGAAUUUGCACUUUGAAUUCUUAUUGCUAUUUUCCUAUAGUCAUAUUAAGUUUUAAUUUGAAUGCAUACACAAUUACUUGAAGAUUUAUGUAAGAAAUGUACAAAAUUAUUUAUUAUAUUCAUAUAUUUAUCAUAUAAUAGCUAGCACAUCUAGUGUAAUCAAAGUAUGUGAUAUUUUUCAAACUAGAUUAAUUGAGGUCAUGGCAAAUGUUCUACGGUGACACUGCAUGCAUAAUUGUGACACUCCAUAAUUGAUGUGUGCAUUCAAAUAAAAACAUUUCAAUAGCAAUUUCACAUUCAGCACUACUAGUGUAGGGACAUCCAAAAUGACGUCAUUUGAAUCAGAAUCACAUUCUUACAUCAUUUGAAUAUCUAGUAAUGGCAGACUGGAAUUAAAGUUGCGUAUACAGUUUACAAAAAUAUGUUGCAUUAAGCUUGAGAUUAUAUGAUAAAGAGAUUAUGACCCUCGUGUGUUUCAAUAUCUUCAGUAUCAUAUAUUAGGAAUAAAAAUAUCAUACUGUGAAAUCUUUACUAGAUUAAUGGUUCUCACUUUAUGUCCAAAAUCUGGAAUAAAUAUAAUUCUCUGAGUACUGUGCAUGAUAAAUAAAAUGACUGCCUUAAGAUAUCGGCUUUAUUAUGCUCAGGUUGAAUGGCAAAUGCUGUUCUUUGCAGGAUAAAGUCGAUAUCUUAAGACAGUAACCAGUUAUUCUCCCUCCAUCUAAUGACCACCCUGGCCAUCACACUGUAAAGACACUAAAUAGAUUGGAAUAGUUCCUUAUUAUUUUUUAAUAAAAAUAGUCAGGUACUUAAGACCUCCACUAUUGCAGAUUAUGACCAGAAUAGUCGGACACAAAUGGUUAUUUUUAAUACAUUUUUUCUCCACCGAUACAAUUACAACAUGACCUAUUUUUAUCCCGUCUCACAUGUGAUAACCCAUAAUGGUAUGUCUCAUAAUAAAGGGUGACUAUUGUUCACUGCAGAAUUGUCAAGACAUUCAGUCAGAUAUGGCAAAUAAGCACAAAUUUCCUUCAUUUGUAUCAGUGUUUGAAGUACAAGAAUGAUCAUGAGUGGACAAAUUGAAUGGGACCCUGGGGGUUAUACACAAGAAGAUCCAUAAACAGUUUAGUGUUGGUUGUACUAUUGGUAGAUGUAGUUUGUUAAAGUUAGUUUGUUUUUUAUUUAUUUAAUUCAACCAAACUGGAUGUCGUAAUUGUGACAUAUAGUCUGAGACAUCAGAUUCAAUAAAAACUACCAAGCCACUGUGCAUACAGUUGCUACAUCCAUUCUUUUAAUCAACAUAAUUAUGACCACAGAAAUUAAUACAUGUACACUCAUAUCUCACCAAUGGCAGACAGCAGUAUUCAGUGCUCAAUUUAUGGUUUUGGCACUUUAAAUAUUGACCUUGUGAAAUGCUUUUGUAUAUACAUGUAGUACUGUAUAUGUGUAAGAUGCUUUUGUACUUGAUAUUGUUCACAGAGAACGUCUUUAUUUAUACCUGAUGUUUUAGUAUUUCUAGCAUUAUCCUGAUUUCUGGAAUGCCACUAUGGUUUGCAAUCAACCUAUUGGUAGCUAUUUUUAAAAUUCCACUAAAAAACACAAAACAUACUAUUAGAUUCAAACCACAAUUCUUUUUACCUGUGUUUAUUAAAAUAACUAAUAAGAGAAGUAUGUUGCCAUUAGUAAAUAUCAUUUACAGUAUAAUUCAAUGUUAUUACACAAUUAUGUAUUUUGUACUGUCCACUAAAUUACGAUGUUGUCCACCGUUACUAAAUGUCCAAAAUUUGCAUUUAUAGCCAAUAUUCCAGGACUAUACUUUAAAUAGAUUACACCAUUAUGUGGUAUACACAAUAAUGUAAGAGAUAUAUCAAUGCAGUGAAACCCCUCUAAACCAGACACCAAUGGAAACAAGUAAAACGUAAGGUGUAUCUAGUAAAGAUGAGUUCUAUUCUGUACUGAUAUCUAAAAUGGUACCAUGAAAAAUUUCUGGUUUACAGAGGGGUCCAGUUUUGAGGGGUUUGACUGUAGUAACAUGCUAGCAUUAACCCCGACAAAAUUACAUUUCUACCUAUUUGCUAUAGUUGAAGGUAACUUAGCAGACAGUAGCAUAUAGUAAAUAUUUCCCAUCAUAUGACCUUGUCAUUCUGACCUACAUGUAUUAUCAUGCAGGCUUUUGUAGAUUUUUGAUAUACUUGAUCUACUUUGUGAUAGAAUGGUUAAACCCAUUCAGUAUAUUGGUAGUUUAUUGCAUGGGUAACUUGGUGGACAGAAUAAAGAAUUAGAAAAAGUA
rnacentral:lncRNA from 1 species